rnacentral:rRNA from 1 species
UACAGGGGGUGCAAGCGUUAAUCGGAAUUACUGGGCGUAAAGCGUGCGCAGGCGGCUUUGCAAGACAGAUGUGAAAUCCCCGGGCUUAACCUGGGAACUGCAUUUGUGACUGCAUGGCUAGAGUGCGGCAGAGGGGGAUGGAAUUCCGCGUGUAGCAGUGAAAUGCGUAGAUAUGCGGAGGAACACCGAUGGCGAAGGCAAUCCCCUGGGCCUGCACUGACGCUCAUGCACGAAAGCGUAAGGAGCAAACAGG